UCUUUAUUCUUAUUAAAAUGCACGAAAGUAGGAUAAUACACAAACUUCAUCAAAUGCAUUUUUACGGUGUAAUAACAAUGAAAAUUUGGACUAUUUUGUCUCAGUGUGUUGUUUGGUUUUGUCCAAUGACAUUCCGCGAAGUCAAAUAGUUCUAUUAUUGAACUAGUUUGACGGGUUUAUUACUGUAUAAAAUAGGUUUACCAUACAAGACAUAAAUACUUUAUAAAUCAUCACGCAGUAACCACUAACCCUUCUUCUCAUUAAACUAUCCGUUUUACAAGAAUUAUUACGCUUCAAUUUGAUGUGUUAUUCGGAUUGUCUCCAAUUUUCGAUCUUCCGCGCGAUGACACACUUUGAAACUGUGAGUGUUAACUAAGCGGCAGAGGCCGCAAGCGGCCCGCCGCAAAAACCACACCGAACGUGAGACAAAGAACUAUUGCUUUGGAUAAAGCGUUAAUGAUAAGACAAAGAGCACAUUUAAGUACGAUAUUGAUCUGCUCCUGUUGGUUAAUAAAACAUAGUUGUCACAGACGGAAUCAAGGGUCGGUGUAAUAUCUUCCAAAUACAGUUGAAUGUAAAGCCCAGUUUACAAGUGCCACACUGGCUGCUGGCCAGGAGAUAGAGGUUGAAGUAUAUCUCAGGGUCAAAUGUCCUUUUCCUGUCAGAUUCUCAAAAGUCAACAUCUCCCUUAACAAUCCUAUGUAUAAUCAGUAUCUAGAGGUGAUAGAUGGACAUGGAAUAUCUGCUGCUUCAGAGUCCAAGAGUAAAGAAGGAAAUUUAUACCUGGUACCCAGCACUCCUAGUUGCUACAAGUUCUCCUUCCUGCCUGUGCAAGAGGACAUUGGGAGCCAGCUUGAGGUUCACUACCAGUUAAACCCUAUGAAAUGACGUAUAACCUGUUUCCAUUGGUUGCUGGUCAUGUUGCUCUUCCCAAGAAAUAUCUGAACAUGUUGAGGUCGGGGUACCCCAUUGUACAGAAAAUGUUACCCACUCACAUCUUUAUUAAGCCUCUUGGUAAAGUGCCACCUGGUGAGAGGUAAACCAGUUCACAUUUUGAAGGUCCAAGUCAUCGAUUUGAUUGCAAAGAUUGGUAUGGAUUCUAGUGAUUUCAGACUAAUUGGAAUACAACUAUUGCUUCUUGUGGGUUGAAUAUAUAAUUUUAUUUCAAUACACGGGCCUGUGACAGAAUUGAAAUUUUAAUGGAGAUAUUCACCCCAGAAAUAUGAAUCGUUCUGACAGUUUCUAGUGUUAUUUUGUAUCUUAACAUCUGUUGACACAUUUGUACAAAAAAAACGUGAAUUUGUGGUAGUUAAAAAUUUAAAGCAAAGCAAGAAAACGAGAGUAGAGUGAAUUUUUUUACGUCACAUAAUAUAAUCAUAAUAGAUUUCUACUUAUUUUCAAAUUUUAUGCUAGAUUUAUACUUUAUUACAAGAACUUCUAAUGAGGGCAAGUGUCCAUUUUUGUCCCAGUGGUUACUGGUUGCUUAAUCACAUGUUUGUCCUACAGACACUUACUGAUGGUUUCUCAGUUACUGUAAAGAUAUGAAAGGAGCAGGUUAAAAGUUGGGGCUGAUUUUAUGAAUUUUAUUAUUUCAUGAAUGACAAAGAUAUGGACCGGACACGCCCAUCAAUGCACUAUCAUGAAAUAUGACCUUUAACAUCUAAGUGUGACCUUGACCUUUGAGCUACAGACCUGGGUCUUGCGCGCGAUAUGUCUUACUGUGGUACACAUUCAUGCCCAAUAUUUUUAAAAUCCAUGCAUGAAUGACAAAGAUAUGGACCGGACACGCCUAUCAAUGCACUAUCAUGAAAUAUGACCAUUAACGUCUAAGUGUGACCUUGACCUUUGAGCUACAGACCUGGGUCUUGCACGCGACACGUCGACUUACUGUGCCACACAUUUAUGCGUAGUUACUUGAAAAUCCAUCCAUGGAUGACAAAGAUAUGGACCGGACACGCCCAUCAAUGCACUAUCAUGAAAAAUGACCUUUAACGUAUUUCUGGUCUGCUUAGAUGGAAAUUGUAUUUUUGUGUUUGGUUAAACACAUGCUCUUUAUUGUCAAAGUCAGCCUUUUACUUCUUAUUUAUGUUUUAUCAAAGUCAAUUUUGUACUAGUAUAUAUCAAUAUAAAUAUAUAUGUUAAAAUUGUUAUGCUUGGAGUUAGUUUUUGAGUUUCUGUUAGAGAGUAAAUCAUGUUUAUCUGGUAGUAUCCAUUUGAAAUAUAUUGAAGUGUACUGAUUUCUUUCUCUUUUUUUGUUAUCAAAAUAUUAAAUAUAAUAAGACUGUAUGACAAAGAUUCAUAUUUAUAAUAUCAUUUUGUUUCAAAGCCACAAAUGCAUUUUUUUAGCUCAUCUGAUUUUUUGAAAAAAAAAAGAUUGAGGAGUUAUUGCCAUCACUUGAGCGGCACUGGCGUCUGUCGGCGUUGCCUGGUUAAGUUUUAUGUUUAGGUCAACUUUUCUCCUAAACUAUCAAAGCUAUUGCUUCAAAAUUUGCAACACUAGUUCACCAUCAAAAGCUGAUUCUGUACAGCAAGAAACAUAACUCCAUCCUGCUUUUUUGCAAGAAUUAUUGCCCUUUUUGGACUUAGAAAAUCAGAUUUCUUUGUUAAGUUUUAUGUUUAAGUCAACUUUCCUCCUUAACUAUCAAAGCUAUUGCUUUAAAACUUGCAACACUUGUUCACCAUCAAAAGCUGACUCUGUACAGCAAGAAACAGAACUCAUCCUGCUUUUUUUUUUUUUGCAAGAAUUAUGGCCCCUUUUGGACUUAGAAAAUAAGAUUACUUGGUUAAGUUUUGCGUUUCGGUCAUUUUUUUUCCUUAAUGGUCAAAGCUAUUGCUUUAAAACUUGGAGUAGUUAUUCACCAUUAAAAGCUGGCUGCACUGCAAGCACCAUAAUUCUACAUUGCUUUUUUGCAAAAAAAAUACGGCCCCUUUUAGAUUUAGAAAAUCAUGGGUAGGAUACUCCUAUUAGAUAAAAAAAAUCAGAUGAGCGUCUGCACCUGCAGGGCAGUGCUCUUGUUAACGAGUAGAAUGAGAAACAGUUGAUGAGAACAUUGGUAGAAUGGUCAAUUUUGCCUUUAAUGCUGAUACAUAUACCUUACUUAUUUAUUAAGGUAAUAGCACUUCAAACAGAAUGGGAAGAAUUGUACAAGAGUUCAAAGAAUAAAGUUGGCAGUGUUGGUCAAGCCAUGUAAGAUCAUCUUCAUUAACAUGUUUGACCAUUAAAAUUAUUAUAAUUAUGCAAUACAUGAAGUUUUUGUUCAGAAACAUAGAUCAGUUUUGAUACGAGUCCAUAUACACGAUAGAAAGUAAUACUUGUUAAUGGCUAUGUUAAUUUGAGUCAAUAUACACAUGAUAGAACAGUAUUUUUGUUAAAGACUAUCUUAAUACGAUGCAUAAAAUAUUCUAUGUAAAUGGUCAUGUGCAAUACAGUUUUGAUUUUGAAAAUAAUAAAGUAUAUUGUGUCAAACAUACGAGUGCAGCUUGU